GCUGAUCUCGUACGGUGGGCUUUAAACUAGUUUUGCCGGGGGAAGGGGCUGCUUUGAGUGGAGAGGAUGCUUCACCAGCAUGCAGGGUGACAAGAGGAAGGGAAGCAGAGGUCAGUGGCUGUGUUUGCUUGCAGAUGCUCCAGUGGGAAAAGCGGCUACCAGUGCGCCUGCACUCCAGCAACCCAGGAGCAGAUGCAGCUCUCAAGGAAUGGAGACAGGGACCCAGGCCAGUCAGUUCCCCACCAUUGAGGCCAGCCCCCAGGCAGAGGGCACCCAGCAUGAAGACACCUCCACCCAGACCAGGACCCUCUGCCUGGCUGAGGUGGGGUGCCAGGCUGACCCCCUGCUGAAGUUGGAGGUGAACACCCAGACCAAGGGGCAUCACUGUCUAAAAUAGACAAGACAGGGAAAAUGUGUGAUGCUUUUCCUAGUGUUAGCUUACUGAGCAUGGGAUUUGUGUGAGGAGUGGAGGGAGGGCUGGUGCCAGGUCCUGGGAAGGCUCUAGCAGGUUAGGAGAAGGAUGUGUUGAGAUCCAGGACUCCUGGGUUCCUUCCCAGCUCUGGAGGCCUUGGGAGAGAAGAGAUGAGUGAAGGGGAAAUGCCUAGUGUAUCUUUAGUAAGUGCCUUGCCCGCAAAUCCCUCCAGCGCCCUGUGUAUCUAGGUGGGACAGGGCUGGGGAAGGGGCUUCACAGGCCUGGGCUCUCUGGGCUGGAGGUCCUGCCUGUAGUGUAUAUCCAGAUUGCACCGAGGGAGCAGAUGCAGGCCCUGGCAGCACAGAGGG